CUCUCUCUCUCUCACACACACACACAGAAGCACACACAUACUUCUGCACUGCCUUUUUUUUCCCCAAAGUGGAGCAUUAGCAGCCGCAGUCAAAAGCACCCUUGCUUCUUAGCGCCUAAGCACUUCUGUCUGUAAGAACAGAAAAGGCAGCAACAGUGGCAGAUUUUCAUGAACCAUGAACCGGCAAUAAGACGCUCUCACAUCUGGUGGCAUACAGUUAUCACUAAUCUGCGGUAACAUUUUAAGUGGUUUAAUAGCCUCAUCACCAGCAAGAUAGAGUUACGUUCUCCGAAAACUGUGCUUCCCUAUAUUCUUUGCUACAGGAGGACUGAGGUGCUGCUUACUGCAGAUUGGGUGGAUGGCAAUCAAAAGACUUCAAAGAAAUCAC
rnacentral:lncRNA from 1 species